CUAUGAUAAAGCUGUGGCUUCCUUUAAGCAUGCUCUAAAGAACGGUGACAUUUGUGAAACUCCAGAUAAGCCAAAAGGCACAGCCAGAAGAAAACCUGCCAAGAAGAAUAAAAGCCAAAAGAAGAAUGCCACAACUCCCUUGAAACAGAGUGAUGAUUCUGACAUUUGGGAUGAUA
rnacentral:sRNA from 1 species